UCCCUGUUCCAUCAAGCGUGAGGCUCAGAGCCACCCUGGCCACCACCGCCUUAAGGCUGAGAAUGGAGCCCAUUAACUCCUCGUCCAACGCCCACUUGCGGUCCAGUGUUCCCGAGGGAGAGAUGAGCCUGACUGUGAGCACCUGGCGUAGUCUAGCUUAAGGGGGGAGACAGUGGACCGAGCAGACAAUCGGGUCUGGACGCCCCAGUAAGGGAUCAAAAGCGAGGGCCGGCUGAACGUGGCGCUCGAAGACCGGAGGCCGCCCGAGCUAGGGGGCGGUGGAGACCCGGGAGGCCCAGCUUGGGCCGGGGGCUGAGACAGGCCGGCGGCCUGUGCAAGUCCCGGGCGGGGUCCCCGGCCCUGGCGCGGCGCCCGGAACACCCCGUGCCGGAAGCGCCACGUGACCGUGACUCCGCAGAAGUCGCGAGGGCCGCGAAACAAAAGGGCGGCUCCGCGCCGGCCUCACGCUGGGGCUGGCACGGAGGGCCCCGACCCCAGCCCAGCCCCACGACCCAGGGCACUCAGCCUCCCGACAGAUGCCGGGCUCUGGCCGGGCAAGGAGGUGCGGAGCCCGGGAAGCUGGGGAGGGAGGGCGAGCGGGCCGGGAGGACGCGUGAGAGCGAAGUGCGAGGCCGGGGGCGGGGGCGCGCUUCGUGCGCUGGCAGGUCCCCUCCCCGGACCUCCACUUCCUCAUCCCGUGAUGUGGGGAGGUUGACGGCUCCUACGCAAUCGACCUCCGGAAGGAGGCUAAGUGGGGCGUGCCACAGAAGGAGGCGCCGAAGGCUGCCCGCCAGCUCGCAAGUAAACGCGCGCUGAAUUCCCGUCAAUUAGCUGCCACGGUCAAAGUCACCGCAGGGAAGUCUCUUCCGGCCCGGGCGUCAGGAAGGGGCGGGGGACGGGCCGGAUGGCUGGGCCGGGAGGGCGAGGAGGGAGUUAGCGUCUCCAUCUCGUAGAAGCUGGCGGACGGGAGACCCCCAAGACCCUCCCUCGGCCAUGUUAAUGCAGUCCUGACGCCCUCCAGGCCUCGGUGGGCGUAGCCUCUCUCCUGCCUCCUUCCCCGGCUUCCCCUGGCAGGAACCAGUGGCUGUGGCUGUUGGAGGGCUCUGGGUACAGUGAGACCUGUUGCACCCCUCACCGGCCUUGGACUUCCCUGCGGGAGUUUUCUGCUCUGAGGCCACAAAAGCCUUGAGGCCUGUCUUCACUGACCGUGACGCCUGUGCUGGGAGAGCAAGGGCCAGAGCUCUGGGGGUAAUGGCCGACUGGGACUCACUUCAAAAAGGACCAGCGGCCGCCACUGCCCACUUUUGUGAAUUCCGGCCCAGAGGACUGUGGGUGGUGAAUCUUUGUUGAAAGAUUCACCAAAAUAGGUCAAGUCUAUCCUGGAUUCCUCUAAGCUGGUAACAUUCGUUUAUCAAGACGUCCUUUGUUAAAAGUACAAGCCGUCCUAUCCAACAGAGCUUUCUGCGGUGCGGCGAUAGAAACCUGUUUCUGCAUUGUCCAGUACAGUAGCCACCAGCCGCAAGAGGUUAGGGAGCACUUGCCAUGUGACCAGGACGGCUGAGGAACUGAACUGUUUGUUAAUAAUUUAAUUCAUUUAAAUUUAACUAGCCAUAUUUAGCUAGUGGCUGUUGUCCUAAGGGUGUGUGUGUGUGUGUGUAGAGGGCAGUAGUGAGACAGCUGGGGAAGGGCUGGGUCUGCAGAAGCUUGGGUGGUCCCUUUAAGGAGUGUAGGUAAUGGGGAGUCCUUAAGGUUCUGAGCGGGGGUGUGGUGCAGGAGGGAUGGCAUUUUAUUUAUUUUAAGAUUUAUUUUUAUUUACUUAUUUGAAAGAAUUAGAGAGGUAGAGACAGAGAGCAAGGUCUUCCAUCUGCUGGUUCACCCCCCAAAUGGCUGUGCGGAUCCGAAGCCAGGAGCCAGAUGCUUCUUCCGGGUCUCCCACCAUGGGUGCAGGGGCCCGAGGACUUGGGCCAUCCCAGGCUAUAGCAGAGAGCUGGAUUGGAAGAAGAGCAGCCGGGACUGGAACGGUGUUUAUAAGGAAUGCCGGCACUGCAGGCUGGGGCUUUAACCUGCUGCUCCAGAGCACCGUCCCCAGGGGAUGGCAUUUUAAGGUGUUGUAUAUGUUGUGUAGUUGUGUAUGCUGCAGGGGCCAGAAAGGCACGCAGAGGCAAGAACAGUUAGGGGUGCAGGCAUUUCCAUCAAUCAGGCAAGAGAUGAUGCUCUUUGUUUUCUGACCAUGCUAGUGUUCCUCUUAAGGACCCUAUCCCCAUUUCCUCCCAGCCAACAGGCCAGAUUCUAGAAGAUUCUAGGCAAGGUUACCCUCUGGGGCAUGAAGGAACUGAGAGAAGCCAUUUGGUGAAGAAGCCCCUGCAUGACAGCCGCUGGCUUUGAUAGGUCCGUUGGCCAGGGAAGGCCUGUAGGGCGAGGGGAACCGAGGCGGCGUGGAGCUGGGAAGGGUUUGGAAGCCGUGGCUGGGCACAGCUGCACCUGCUGGGCCUCAGAGUGUGUCUAAACAACCAUCCGGCACAUUUUUGGCUUUGGUUUCUGAAGAGGCAGCUGGCUUUGGACAAAAACAUGGGUAGAAGGUCUCAAGUUUGAUUCUGCCUAAGUUGCUCACCUCCUGUUUAAUCAUAAUCUCAAUCUCUUCAUUUAAAAAAAUUUUUUUUUUCAUUUAUUUGAAAACCCUAUAAAAGGCUUUUGAUCUCCUGGGUGUUUCUUUCUUUCUUUCUUUAUUUUUUUUGAAAACUGUUUAAAAAAAAAAAAGAGGGGCCGACUCUGCGGUGUAGUAGUCUAAGCCUCUGCUUGCGCCACUGCAUCCUAUAUGGACACGGGUUCAAGUCCUGGCUGCUCCACUUCCAAUCCAGCUCCCAUUUUAUGGCCUGGGAAAGCAGUGGAAGAUGACCCAAGUGUUUGGGCCCCUGCACUCACAAGUCCAAGACCUGGAAGAAGCUCCUGGCUUUGGAUUGGUCCAGCUCCCGCCAAGGUUGUGGCCAAUUAGAAGAUGCCUGGCACUGCAGGCCUCUCUCUCUGUUUCUCUGUCUCUUCCUCUCUCUCUGUAACUCCACCUCUCAAAUAAAUAAAUAAUUCUUUUUAAAAAUUUAAAAAUAAAUCCUGUUGAGUUUUAAAUUUCAAAAAUAAGGGGGCUGGCGCUGUGGCGCAGUGGUCUAAAGCCCUGGCCUGAAGCGCCGGCAUCAUUCUGACCCAGCUCUCUGCUAUGGCCUGGUGGGCCCCUGCACCCACGUGGGAGACCCGGAGGAGGCUCCUGGCUUCGGAUCAGCACAGCUCUGGCCAUUGCGGCCAGUUGGGGAGUGAACCAAUGGAAGGAAGACCUCUCUCUGUGUAACUCUAACUUUCAAAUAAAUAAAUCUUUUUUUAAACAAUUUAAAAAUAAAACCUGUUGAGGAGGGGUCCAGUGGGAGCAGAAAGAUACCAGGACAAUGGCUUCCAAAUUGGACCUCAGACCACCUGUAGACCAUGAUGAAAAAAAAAGGAAAAAAAACCCAAAACCCACAACUGAUGAAGUGAGCAUUUCCAGAAGCAAAAUCAUUCCAUUUAAAGGGCUUCCUUUGAAAUCAA